ensembl:lncRNA
CAGAGUCGCAUACUGUGUUUGGAGAGGAUCUGGCACAGCUGGAUCUAGCACAAGAGCAUUUUCCCUGGGAACAAUGAGGCUUUAACACAGCAAGAGAGGGGUCUGUACACCAGCUGACCAGUUCAAACAGGAAUCUUUCGCUGGAUGUUGGUCUGUUCAGCAUUCUGAUGGCAGCUGGAUGACAGACGUAGAUCACAUGAUACCGGCUUCAGAGAUAAUAGAGGGUUAAGGAGGCGGCUGGGAUUCGGAGGCUGGGAGCAGCUGUACUCGUGACUGAAAUGAAAACAGAAAUGAACGAGGCUGUCAGGCCUCUGAUGUAUGACUUGUAAUGGGAUGUUUCCAAACCUCCUUUCUCCAUAUGGCUGCCGACACAAUCAGAAACACCCACCGCCUACAGAGCCAGGGACUCUCAGAGCAAUACAUCUGGUACACAGACACUCACACUUACACACAUGCCAAACAAACACACUGAUUCACUGUCUCCUAUUGUGGUGACCUGCUUAAAAUAUUCACCUUUAGUCAAAAGUCAGAUGUUCAUAGAGAAGCAUUACAACGCAAACAUUAUCUGAAUUGAAGUUCAGGUGACUCCUUGAGUCUUCACGCCUCACCCUCGCACUAAACUCAUCAUCCUCACAUCUGCACCAAACAUGUGAGUCCUGCGGCCGUGUUCAGACAUUUCAUUCUUCCCACACUCACUAUUCACGGCUUAACUCAAUCAAGUUCUCCUACAUCUGUUUGUCUGUCAGCUCUCCAACCUUUUGUGAAAUCUCAGCCUGUCUGUUAUUUUUUGCUACGUCCUGUGCGGCGACUCGGAAGUGCUACUCUAAGUAAAUGUCAGUUUGAAUUUAUCAGAAGCCGAACUGUUAUAAACACUUCCUGACUUUCAGAGACCUCAAUGCUCUCCUGAGUUGCUCUCACAGGAAACCACAGGAGGAGACAACGCUGUGUCUCAUGAGCUUGUCUAGGCCGGCCUGUUUGCUCUCAUUGUUUUGGCUGUGGAACAGACUUUUAAGCACUAACAGUGACCUCCAUCCACACCUGAAAGACCCACAACAGGAAGUAUCAUCCAUUCGCUCUCUGACCUCUUCUAAAGAGGUGGACACACUCGGCUGUCCAUGACCACAUCCUCUCAGGCGAACAGCCCUCACAUUGAGACCCAAGAGCCC